rnacentral:rRNA from 1 species
UACAGAGGUGGCAAGCGUUGUUCGGAAUUACUGGGCGUAAAGGGCGCGUAGGCGGCCUUCUAAGUCAGACGUGAAAUCCCCCGGCUUAACCUGGGAACUGCGUCUGAUACUGGGAGGCUUGAGUAUGGGAGAGGGAUGUAGAAUUCCAGGUGUAGCGGUGAAAUUCGUAGAUAUCGAGAAGAACACCGGCGGCGAAGGCGGCCAUCUGGACAGAUACUGACGCUGAGACGCGAAAGCGUGGGGAGCAAACAGG